rnacentral:lncRNA from 1 species
UUCGAACUUUGAUUGUUUAAAAGAUGAUGACGCAUAGCUGUUCAGUUUACUGUUACAUAGGAACCAGUCCACUGUCCACUACUAGUAAAAUAACUGCACAACAACCUCUUACAGAGAAGAACUGAAACUUAAUGAAAUGACUACAAUAAACAGCUUAAAUAACAGCACCAAAUACAUCACACUAAUCAACCUGAGAACUAGUGUUCUAAGAAACCAGACAAUAAUUAAUAUUUUUAUUCCAACACAAAUUCAAGAAUAUUAGAGGAACUAGCUGAUCAUAUUGGUACACAUCCACACUAAUCAACUUAAAGACUCACACUUUCUAUUCUCAGCUACCUAGCUAGCUGAGGACAAAUAAUAAAUCAGACAACACAAUAUUUGACUUAUAAUAAUCAUGCAAACUGUAGAAUUACCCUGAUAGAUAAAUUCAUCUAGUAUCUAACCAGACUCAUCACUGGACUUCCUUUUCAAAUAAGAAUCAUUACGAUCGUCACCAAAAUCUAGCUUCUCAUGCACACUGUCCUGCACAAAUUUAUCUUCCGCUAGAGCUGAUCCGUGGUACAGGAGACCUGCAUCAUAAUUCAUCGUAUCGAAGUCUUGAAACAUUGGCAUUGCCUCACCUUUCGUGACAUGCCAGUACUGUCUGGGACUAGGCCUCGCAUAGGAAGUGCUCGCAAUCUGCACAAGUGAGUGACGAUAAUUAAAUUAUAAUGACAAUAAUACAUGAAAAUACGAAAGUGGUUGCAAAGAGUUUGCCAUACAAAGAGGAGGGCAAGAGAAACAAGCAAAGCUAACUUAGAAUGCAUGCUUGAUUUUGGAAGAGUGUAUGAAAGUCCUUAAUAUUACAAAUUGUGGUCAAUAUGGGUACUUACAUAUAUAGACAAAAUUAUAAGUCCACUAGGAGAAUAAAUCUAUGCCUUCAUUUUCAAGAAAGGCAAAAAGACCCUUAUGCUGAGAUAAUCAAUCUAAAGAAACUAAUGUAAUACAACAGGGUCCUGCACUUUAAUAUUUUACAUAUGCUG